AUUGAACGCUGGCGGCAGGCUUAACACAUGCAAGUCGAGCGGAGAUGAGGUGCUUGCACCUUAUCUUAGCGGCGGACGGGUGAGUAAUGCUUAGGAAUCUGCCUAUUAGUGGGGGACAACAUUCCGAAAGGAAUGCUAAUACCGCAUACGCCCUACGGGGGAAAGCAGGGGAUCUUCGGACCGUGCGCUAAUAGAUGAGCCUAAGUCGGAUGAGCUAGUUGGUGGGGUAAAUGCCUACCAAGGCGACGAUCUGUAGCGGGUGUGAGAGGAUGAUCCGCCCCACUGGGACUGAGACGCGGCCCAGACUCCUACGGGAGGCAGCAGGGGGGAAUAUUGGACAAUGGGCGGAAGCCUGAUCCAGCCAUGCCGCGUGUGUGAAGAAGGCCUUUUGGUUGUAAAGCACUUUACGCGAGGAGGAGGCUACCUGGAUUAAUACUCUAGGAUAGUGGACGUUACUCGCAGAAUAAGCACCGGCUAACUCUGUGCCAGCCGCCGCCGUAA
rnacentral:rRNA from 1 species